GUUUUAAACCUAGCCUAGCCCCUCCUCCCCCUCUCAUCUUAUUUAUCAAAACAUUCCUCAAUGCUAGUAUGGGCGACAGAAAACUUACUAAGCGCAAUAAACAUAGUACUGCAAAGGAAAAAUGAAAUAGAAAUGAAAUAAACCAUAAAAACAUAAAAAAAGCAAAGACUAAUACUUCUACCUUUCGCAUAAUGGUUUAAUUAGUCUUCACAACACAAAGAUCUCUAGUCGAAUACCCCGAAACUGAACGAGCUACCCUCAGGCAGCAGCAUGCGAGCAAACCCUUCUCUGUAGCAAAAGAGUGAGAAGACCUCAAGGUAGAGGCGAAAAACCUAACGAGUCCAGAGAUAACUGGUUACUUAAGAAUGAAUUUUAGUUCAACUAAAAGCACACAUAUCACCAAAAGACAUAAAGCUUUUAUUAUAAUUAAUUAGGGUACAGCCUAAUUAAUACAGGAUACAACCCUAAUAAAUGAAUAAAGAUUAUAAUAUAUAAAAUUAGCACCGUAGACUUAAGAGCAGCCAUCAAAAAAGCGUCAAAGCUUAACUUUUAAAUACUCCUAUCCUAAAAUUUAAUCUUAUCUUCUUCCUUAGUAUUAAGUAAAUCUAUAAAAUAGAAAAUUUUCUGUUAAAAUUAGUAAUAACGGACCCCCCCCCUCUACAAUGCAAGUGUGUUAGGAUAAACCUAUAAUUAACAAUAAAUAUUCUUUAUAACAAGAAAUUAAAUAUCACANAAUGUCAACCCAACACAGGAGCACUUAAGAAAGAUUAAAAGUUUGAAAAGGAACUCGGCAAAAACGUCGCCUGUUUANCAAAAACAUCGCCUCCUGCUAAAUUAAUAUAAGAGGUACUGCCUGCCCGGUGACACCUGUUUAACGGCCGCGGUAUAAUGACCGUGCAAAGGUAGCAUAAUCACUUGUCUCUUAAAUAGAGACCUGUAUGAAUGGCAAAACGAAAGCCCAACUGUCUCAUCAAAUUAAUCAGUGAAAUUGAUAUCCCCGUGCAAAAGCGGAGAUAAUUUUAUAAGACGAGAAGACCCUACGGAGCUUAAAACCUAAAUUAAUAUAAUUAAAUAAAUAAUCCAGGGCUUUAGGUUGGGGCGACCACGGGGAAUAAUAGAACCCCCGAGAUAUAUAGUUAAGAAAAACACUUCAAAAUAACACCACAGUUGAUGUAAUUGACCCAAUAAUUGAUCAACGAACCAAGUUACCCUAGGGAUAACAGCGCAAUCCUCUCAUAGAGUCCAUAUCGACGAGCGGGUUUACGACCUCGAUGUUGGAUCAGGACAUCCUGACAGUGCAACCGCCAUCAAAGGUUCGUUUGUUCAACAAUUAAAGUCCUACGUGAUCUGAGUUCAGACCGGAGUAAUCCAGGUCAGUUUCUAUCUAUUACGUAAUCCUUCCUAGUACGAAAGGACCGAAAAANCAUGGCCAAUGCAAUAUGUACGCCAUCAAAAACUUAAUGAAACCAACUAAACAUUACACACCCCACACCUCAAAAUAUAGAGGCU
rnacentral:rRNA from 1 species